rnacentral:ncRNA from 1 species
GUUUGGUCCUGACCUUAGAAUCAAUUAUUACUUAAUUUACACAUGCAAGUAUCCGCACCCCUGUGAAAACGCCCUUUUACCCUAUAAGGGAUAAGGAGCUGGUAUCAGGCACAAAUAUUAGCCCAAGACACCUAGCUAUGCCACACCCACAAGGGAGAUCAGCAGUGAUUAACAUUGAAUAUAAGCGACAGCUUGAUUCAGUUAAAGUAAAAAGAGCCGGCAAAUCUGGUGCCAGCCGCCGCGGUUACACCACGUGGCUCAAAUUGACUCUUCUCGGCGUAAAGCGUGUUUUAAGGGGACCCUUUCUUGGUGUUAAAAAAAUACUAAGCUGUGACACGCUUGUGCUUAAGAAAAUCAUAAACGAAAGUUACACCAAUUUGAUCAACUUGAACCCACGACAGCUAGGAAACAAACUGGGAUUAGAUACCCCACUAUGCCUAGCCGUAAACUUUAACUUACACCCACAUCGCCUGGGGACUACGAGCUAAGCUUAAAACCCAAAGGACUUGACGGUACCCCAAAUCCACCUAGAGGAGCUUGUCCUGUAAUCGAUAACCCCCGCUUAACCUCACCACUUCUAGCAAAUCAGCCUGUAUACCUCCGCGUCAGCUUACCUCAUGAGCGCCUUUAAGUGAGCCUCAAAUGCCACAUACGCCAAUCACGUCAGGUCAAGGUGCAGCUAAUAAAAGUGGGGAAGAGAUCGGGCUACACUCUCUAUGUUAUAGAAAAACACCGAAAGACUCACCUUAUGAAACCUAGGUCAGAAGGAGGAUUUAGACAGUAAAAAGAGAACAUAGUCUCUUUUUAACCCGGC